AGGUAUAAGAUAGCAGAAACAGUUGGGAAGCUGUUCCAAAGAGGGUGACAGGCCCGUAUGCGAAAUCUUGUACUCUCUAAUCAGGAUCCUGAGUACGGCCCAGCACGUGAAAUUGGGUCGGAAUCUGGGAGGACCAUCUCCCAAGGCUAAAUACUAACUAGUGACCGAUAGCGAACAAGUACCGUGAGGGAAAGGUGAAAAGAACCCCGGAAGGGGAGUGAAAUAGUUCUUGAAACCGUGUGCUUACAAGAAGUUCGAGGCCGUUAAUGGCUGAGAGCGUGCUUUUUGUAGAAUGAACCGGAGAGUUACGAUUGCGUGCAAGGUUAAGGUGCAAAGACUGGAGC
rnacentral:rRNA from 1 species